UGUUCCAGAUUGAAUAUUGUA
rnacentral:piRNA from 1 species